GGGAAUGUAUAGCAAUUGCUAUUUGCACUAAAAUUUUUAGUGUGAAAUCGACUAUGUCGAAUAAAAUUCUGGGUAGAAUUAUGAUAAUGACAUAAUCUGUCCAUAAGUCUUGACCAAAUUACGUGCCAGCAGUCGCGGUAAUACGUAGAAGACAAGUGUUAUUCAUCUUUAAUAGGUUUAAAGGGUACUUAGACGGUAAAUAAAGCCUCAAAAAGGUACUAGUUUGCUAGAGUUUUAUGUGAAGGGGUUUUAAAGUACUACUGGUGUAGAGAUGAAAUUCAGUCAUACCUUGGAUGGCACAGGUUAAGGCGAAGGCAUCCUCUUAUGUAAAAACUGACGUUGAAGGACGAAGGCUUUGUGUCUCGAACAGGAUUAGUUACCCUAGUAGUCUAAGCAGACAAUUAUGAAUGUCAUAGAUUAGAUAUAGUUUGAUCUAUAAAUGAAAGUGUAAGCAUUCCACCUCAAGAGUAAUUUGGCAACAUUGGAACUGAAAUCAUUAGACCGUUUCUGAAACCAGUAGUGAAGUAUGUUGUUUAAUUUGAUAGUCCGCAAAAAACCUUACCACAAUUUGAAUAGAUAUAAUUUAUCAUACAAGCGUUGCACGGCUGUUUUUAGUUAAUGUCGUGAGAUUUUGGUUAGUUCCAUUAAAUUAACGUAAACCCUUAUUUUAUUUUUAAAUAAAAUAGUUCACCGCUAGAUUGGAUG
rnacentral:rRNA from 1 species